rnacentral:lncRNA from 1 species
AGCCUUCUUCUGCCCUUAUGAUAGAAGUCUCUCCUCAGUUCUACAAAAAUAAGAUGAUGGGAAACACAAUUUUGUAAGCUACCAUUCUGUAUUGCAUCACAAGGAGCUGGACCUUGUGCAAAGAACACAUUUAAACCAUCUCUGCUGAUCACCUCAUUAUUGUGAGAGGUUCAAAAAGGCCAAGUGCCAGGUCCUGGACUUGGAUUACAACAACCCCAGGAG